AGGCUGGACAAGUCUAAAAGCAAAUCAUCACUAGCGGUUUUAAUGCUGAGCUUCCAUAUCACGGUGUUCAUAUGUACUUCUAAGGCUGUUCGUACCUUGUAAUGUUCACUUACUGUGUGAUUUUUAAAACCUGUCUAUUUUCAAGUUUUAAGCACAAUGUUGAUUGUUCUCUAAUUUACCUUGUUUUCCUACAAACAGCUCAACUUUCCUCUCUGUAUAAUACUUUAGGAGAAUACUACCUUGUAAAAUAAACGUGAUUUUUUCCUUUUUUACCAGCAC
rnacentral:lncRNA from 1 species